AGACAGACAGACGGAUGAGUAGAUAGAUACAUGGUCUAACAUGUUCGUGUACUUAAGGAGUCGAACAGAAUUGUUGAUAUCUGGAAUAAGCUUCCUUCACAAAUUACAAACACCACUUCUGUUGCAUCAUUGAACAGUAACACUGACCAAUAUAUACAAGUUCACCCCAGCAAGCUCUUUUCUGGUCCCAAUACCCACACGCGUCACUCCUGACCAUAGUGUUGUUCCUCACCACAGUGUUGCUCUGUGAGGCUUUCAUCCUUCCAGCCAGACAUGCAGAGUUCAGCGUGGGGUGAAUGGUGUUGUUCCUCACCACAGUGUUGCUCUGUGAGGCUUUCAUCCUUCCAGCCAGACAUGCAGAGUUCAGCGUGGGGUGAAUGGUGUUGUUCCUCACCACAGUGUUGCUCUGUGAGGCUUUCAUCCUUCCAGCCAGACAUGCAGAGUUCAGCGUGGGGUGAAUGGUGUUGUUCCUCACCACAGUGUUGCUCUUACGUCGCGGAGUGGUGAGGUGGUGUGGCGGCCAGCCCUCUGGUGGAGCACAUCGCACAGCACUCUCCACGUUAAUUUCUCGCAAAGUGAAGCAAAACUCAACUUAUGUGUAUAGAGUACUUUCCACUCAGAAUGACAUGUGUAUAGAGUACUUUCCACUCAGAAUGACUUGAACUAUCACAUCGCAAAGUACAGGACCUUAACUCACUGGACGUGCACCCAGUGUUGCCACUCUAGAAUUUCAGAAAACACAAGAUUGUCCCUCCAAAAAAGACUAGAUUGACCGAAAAACAACUAGAUCUCCGUAACUUCUUCCCGUUAUUCCCACGCUAAUGACAUAUGAGGCUUUUGUUUUUUUCAUAGUCAUUUUCUUGGCAGUUUCACAGUCAGGAAACAUCUUUUUCAUUAACUCAACCAAAUGGUCUGCCUGGGAAAAUGCUAUUCCAUGUUCUGCCAUAUAUCCACACAACAAUAAUUCUGCAUUGUUAACUUUAUCUUUCGGGUCUUCCACUGAUUUCUUUAAGAAAUGCUGAAUAUUCA